ensembl:lncRNA
GGAUAUUGCAGUGUCUCUGCUACUUAAGAGGAUUGCUGGCAUUUUUUGCGCAGUUCCUUUUGUUAAGCUCUCCAUAGAUCCUCUUUUCAUAUGCAGUCUCCAUUGAUAAACAAUAAAAACAGUUUUAUGGAGAUUUUAUGCCUCUGUCUUAACUUAUUUGUUGGCUUUCUAACCUAUAUCAGGGGUAUUCCUAAGACUGUUUAUUGUUUUAAAUGAAUAAUCAGUAAAAGAAACUUUUCUAAAUGUGUAAAUGUUCUGUUGUAGUUUGUUCUAUAAAGAAUUCAGAACUUAUAUACUCAGUUCAUUAAGAUGAAAAAAAAUUUUUUUUCUAGUUAUCAUGGUAGACUCUUACUAAACAAAAUGGCAGAGUGUCUUUAGAUGGAUAACACUGGGUAACUUUUCAGCCAGUGCGGCUGGUGCUUUUCUGUUGAAUAUAGCUUACUGACCAGCUCUUAGCAUGUGGCUUGCUCAUUUUUUGGUGUAAACUGACACAUUGAAUCCCUAAUGAAAUUUAUAGGAUGCUCACUUAAUGCACAGCUACCAAUGGCAAGAAUAUGAGCUUCCUUUUCAUUUUCUCAGGAAUAUUACACUGGCUUUAACUGCUAUAAUUGACCAGGCUGGAGGUAUGGUGUUCUGAAACAGUGUAUCAGGAGUGUGCUACCCUGCUGCAGCCACCUGUUAUCUUAGGUGUUGUGGAUCCUUCUGUGGUUGCACUGAUUGCAGUUAGUGAUAUUUUACUGUGCAGAGCUCUGGAUCACCUGGGAGUAGUGAGACUUCCAGUUCAUCUGCAUUUUGCAAGAAAAGUAUGGAAAUAAGCAUUCUGGAUUCUGACUUGAACUGCUGAUCUCCUCAUCCUAGAAACCAUGAGCUGCAGAUCCCAAAGGACGGCUGCUGAAACACUGAUAAGUGUCUUCAACUUGAGUGCUAAAUAUGAUCAGUGAGAGUAAACAGUGGUGAUGCAGACUGCAGUCACUGUAAUCCAUGGUCACUGUACUUGAUGUUGCUUAUCAGUUCUGGCAGAUAAGACUGUUUUACUUGCAUAUGGUUUUUCACAAAGCAGGUCGGAAAGCCUGUACGAAAGCGCAGCUACCAUGGAUGGGAGACGGGCAUUUAUACAGCUGUGAAUGUAGCGCCGUAACACUGGAGAUAAAGUCCUUUCAGAGGAGCCUCCUUUUCCGCUUCCAGACAGUGAGGGGCGAGAGAUGGCUUGCACCGCGAGGGUGGCUGUGCUGCCGGGGGGUUGCGCGGGCUCCCUCAUACGUGGCAGCCUGGUCCUCGUGCCCUCCAGGGCCUGCCACAAGCAAGAGGCACCGACGCCAGUUUAAUUGCGUGAGUCUAUGGGCUGUCAAAAAGACCAAACGGUGUGAACUUCUCAAUAAAGCACUGGAGCUGGCAACUCUGACACCAACAUUUGAACAACUACUGCUUGCUGGGGCCAAAACUGCGCAAAAGAGCUUGACGUGCUUUUCUAACCUUUAAAAGUGCCUGAAUGUGGCAUAAUAGAAUCUGUUUAUUAUGUUUUGGUGAUUUCCCAAUCAAGUUUGCUCAACGUACAGCUUAAAAACCCAGGGUUUCUUUCGCUGCUGGCUGCUGCCCUCUGUGCUGCCUUGACCUUCAGCGACGGCUGCAGUUCGUGCCUGCAAGAGGCACGGGUCCCGCGAGGCUCUGCGAAACCCUGUCGGCGAGCAGCCGGGCGCCUGCCGCAGCAGAGAGCAGGGCUGAAACCCUGCUGUCCUUCGCUGCGUGGUUAUCCCGGCCACGCGCUGCGAGUGACGCUUGGGGAGCUGGGAGGGAGGAGCGGAGGGAGGGAGCUGCGCGCAGCCCUCCAGGCUUCCGUGCAAGGGAAACGCUUCAGAAACGCCCCGCCAGCGAACCUCAUGGAUCAUCCAAGCACGAUGCCCACAGGAAAAAGAAGUGAAUUUGGUGACUUCUUCUUCCUACAGCUGCUUCUCUAAGGCGGGCAAAGUCUAGCCUUUUGCUGGCGUAUGUCCAGCUAUGCGGUUUGCCCAGUGUAGGUAGUUUUGCUCCUCUUUCAGAGACUCUGGGUAAUAAAAGCCUCUUCAGUCAAAGACUGAAAGCGAUA